UACAGAGGGUGCGAGCGUUAAUCGGAAUUACUGGGCGUAAAGCGCACGUAGUCGGCUUUGCAAGCCGGUUGUGAAAUCCCCGGGCUCAACCUGGGAACUGCAUCCGGGACUGCAUUGCUAGAGUAUGGGAGAGGGAAGCGGAAUUUCUGGUGUAGCAGUGAAAUGCGUAGAUAUCAGAAGGAACAUCAGUGGCGAAGGCGGCUUCCUGGACCAAUACUGACGAUCAGGUGCGAAAGCGUGGGGGAGCAAACAGG
rnacentral:rRNA from 1 species